CACCUGGGAAAGGGCCUUCCUGAAUGGGGCCUGGACGGAUUUGCCUGGGGCGGGGCCGGGGCUGAACAGUCCCCAGCUACAGUCCAGGCUCUUUGCUGGCGGACGUGGGCAGAAAGGAGCUUCUCUCCUGAUGAAAAAGGUCCCGAGUAGUCCAAAAAUGGCAAUAGCUAACAGGCCUCGGCUGCUUUCUACGUGCCAGACGUGACGCCCGAUGUUGUCCGCACACUGGCCUGUCCAUCUCCUGAUAUUCCUGUGAGGUGGGGGCCGCUGUUAGCCCCAUUUGACAGAGGAGCAAACUGAGGCACAGCGAGGUUAGCGGACAUGCCCAAGGGUCUAGAACUGGUAAGUGGAGGAGUAAGGUGGGUUCUCCUCCCCCCGUGGCUAAGUCACUUUCCCUUCCCAUCUCCACCAUGAGCUGACGGGAUUUCUAAAAGCCUUGUCACUCCCGGAGCCCCAGGAUCGUGUCGCAGGACUUGGAAGGUCAUUCCGUCACAGAAGGGCAGGUGCUCUUGGGCACCUGGGUUUCUGACACCCUCGCGCAGUUGUCCCCGGGCACCCCUCUCUCUGAGCCAGCCCCCUGAAAUCGCCUGUAUGCAGCAUCUCCUACCUUACAAAUCUAGGGAGAUUUUUGGUUUGGUUUUCUUUUGUCGUAAAUGUUUUCCAACAUUUAGCACAAGGACAACCCUCUCCACACACCUUUUCCUCUUCCCUGUUAAAGCUUUCUGCCCCCUGUCUCACUGUGUGGGAUCCAGACGUGGCCAAGCAGCCUUGCCUUGAGCACAGCCCUGCAGGCAGGCAUUACCAGCCCUCUAAGAGUUAUUGAGCACCCGGCACCAGGCUUGCCCAAGGUCACUGGGUCCAUGAGUGGACUUACCUCCUGGUCUGCGCUUAGGCUCGUGGCAGGUGCGCAAGGAGUGCGACUCUCUUUCCCCCUCUUUAAACUGGCUCUUCUUCCCUUUGCUUCGGUUUGCAGACAGAAGGCAGAGCAGGGCUGGCAGCAGGGUUGAAUGCCUCUGGCCCACUGGGCCGGCAUCUCCCAAACCCUCCUGCUUCUGGAAGAGUUGGUCUGGACCAGCAGCUCCACCAGCCCCGGCUCGCUGAGCAAAAGCAGCCUUCCCAGUGCUUUGGUGUCCUCAGAGCAGAGCUCAGCAUUUCACCCGGCAGAAAGGGUAGUGAUCCCACCUUGCAGGGCCUUCAAAUGUGAGCGCUCCCCUGUGCCGCCUAAAACACCCACUUCACCUGCCAUCCCCAGGCCGAUCCUCUAGGAGGCCCUGGCCCUCGGCCACAUGGAAAACUCAGUACCAGAGGGGAGAUUGGAUACAUGCUGGGAACAUGCACGAGAAGUCGCUCUUGGCUCCAGGGCUCCUGUGAUGACAUCAGGACUUGGGUUCUCUCCAUCUCCUGACUCUACCUGCUGCCCCGUUGGUGUCACUCUCAGUUUCCAUGUGAUAGGCUUGGAGGAUUCAAGACAGGUGCAGAAAAGGUCUCUUUCCUUUGUGCCUCAGACAGAAGUCCUGGGCUCGAUGCUCCCUGAUCCGUACUGGGUCACUUGCCUGUCCCUGAAUCAGAAGCCAGGGUUCAGGGAUGUAGAGUGACAUUUGGUCGGGCCCACAUCCAAUGCCCAUCUCCAGAGCCGAGGUGAAGUCAACUCCCAGCCAAAGCACAUGGACCGAGCAUCCUGGAGAGGUAUUUCCCCGGGAAAUUGGCAAUUCCUGAUUGAACGGGUACCUGGCAGCAAAACCCCAACAACUGUCCUUCACACCUUCCCCUGCUGUCCCCAGGGUCCAGUCCCGGUGGAGGCUGCCCACCUGGGCCAGGUGGGCACCUGGACAGAAGGCGAAGGCUCCUCUUCUGGACUGACUUCCCCACGUCCCCUGGGGUCCCUACUUGCCAGCAGUGCUGUAUUUUUCUCCACUCAGAGAUGAAGGGUAUCUGGCCAAGGGCAGGACAGGGGGCAGGGGAUCGGAGGAGAGCCUGUCAUUGCCAUUAUCAAGAUCACUUAUCCAUUCACUCAUUCUUCUGCUCAUCAAAUUACUCAGUGCAUGUUUAUUACCGUCUAAGUCAUUGCAGGCCAUGGUUAUAUUGGGGUUUCUCAAACUUUGGUCAUUGGAGCUCCCUCUUCCCAACUUGUCAUUCAGGCAUUGGAGUCCCUUCAUCUCAAUUUUCUAAAAUCCUUAAUCUGCUGCAUCACAAGGGAACAUCCCGGAGUUCCCGUCGUGGCGCAGUGGUUAACGAAUCCGACUAGGAACCAUGAGGUUGCGGGUUCGAUCCCUGCCCUUGCUCAGUGGGUUAAGGAUCCGGCGUUGCCGUGAGCUGUGGUGUAGGUUGCAGACGCGGCUCGGAUCCCGCGUUGCUGUGGCUCUGGCGUAGGCCGGUGGCUACAGCUCCAAUUCACCCCCUAGCCUGGGAACCUCCAUAUGCCGCGGGAGCGGUCCAAGAAAUAGCAACAAUAACAACAACAACAAC
ensembl:lncRNA